AUCUUAAUAAGGUUUUACCUAUUUUGAGAACAUAACUUCUAGCAGAGGUUUCUUAAUGAUCCUAAAUUGGGAUUUAAAGUCUGGUUCUUUGCUAAAAUAGUAACUUCGAUGGACAUCUAGUUGCCUGAGCCGGUGUGUAUAGGACCUUUUCUUUUGGGCUGAAGAGAAGUGAAGAAGUUUAAUGUUCCUCAUUGGCUAAAGGCUGGCAGUGCUAGACAAUCAGCCACUCUUCUUUUACAAAGGUUCAUUUUUAUUACAGGUACUUUACCUGACUUAGAGGGGAAAUAAUAAACCUCCAAAAUUGGGCUUGAAUCACAUGUAAUGGGAAAUGAUUCCGUUGUUUCUAAGAUAUGAUAUGAAACGUCUACUAGAAUGAACUCUGGCCUUAUUUGUAUUGUGUAGCCCAAAACUGUAAUGGAAGAUUAUAGUUCCAAAGGGUCUCCAUGCAAAAGAUAAUACAGGAUCUGAUAAAAGACAAAAAUCCCUGAUGCUGCUGGUACUGUAAGUGACAUACAUACAUGUGUGUGAGCAUACACGUAUUUUGAACCAAUGCUUAUUUUGUCCUCCCUUCUGGCCCUCUCUUCUUUCUGUGCUUAACUCAAGAUUAUCAAGAAGAAGGGCAUGGCAUGUACUUGACUAGCAUUUGUAUUUCUCAAUUUGGUGGCUACUCAAGCUGAGAUCACCAUGAAUUAAGUUCCAGGCAGAGGGAGCCAUUCUUGACAAAGUUGUAAUCUGCAAAUCCGGAAGUUUGGGAUUGAAGAGACUUCUCAGCCCCAGAGGAAGUUACAGGGUCAUUGACACUGUUGAGCAAUAAGAGACAGCAAAGCCCUUGGAACCACAUUCCAGGAGUUCUCUUCCCUCUGUUUUGUCUCUUCCAUUCCAGAGAUUCUGAAGGACACAGGACCUGGUCCUCAUUUGCCCUUUCUCCCUGGGGAAC